CAGCAGCCGCGGUAAAACGAAGGGUGCAAGCGUUAAUCGGAAUUACUAGGCGUAAAGCGUGCGUAGGCGGUGAGUUAAGUCUGCUGUGAAAUCCCCGGGCUCAACCUGGGAAUGGCAGUGGAUACUGGCUCGCUAGAGUGUGUCAGAGGAUGGUGGAAUUCCCGGUGUAGCGGUGAAAUGCGUAGAGAUCGGGAGGAACAUCAGUGGCGAAGGCGGCCAUCUGGGACAACACUGACGCUGAGGCACGAAAGCGUGGGGAGCAAACAGGAUUAGAUACCCGGGUAGUCCCUGUCUCUUAUAC
rnacentral:rRNA from 1 species